rnacentral:sRNA from 1 species
UGGAUCUGCGACGGGGAGAGCAGGUGGACGUGGGAGUCGAAGGCACCCGCAGUGACGAUCCGGCCCUCUCCCGCAAUGACAUCGGUUGAGGGGCCGAUAUGCAGAUCGACGUCGAUGCCGUCGCUGAUAUCAGGGUUCCCCGCGUGGCCGAUGCCGACGAUCCGGCCGCUGCGGAUGCCGAUAUCGGCGCGGAUGAUGCCCCACCAAUCCAGGAUGACGGCAUUGGUGAUGACAGUGUCCAGGGCGCCGUCGGCGCGGCUGAUCGUGCCCUGGGCCAU